CCUCACUAUAAACACUAGUUAAUAUGGUACCAGGUACCAGCCAGGUCAGACCUCACUAUAAACACUAGUUAAUACUGUACCAGGUACCAGCCAGGUCAGACCUCACUAUAAACACUGGUUAAUAUGGUACCAGCCAGGUCAGACCUCACUAUAAACACUAGUUAAUACUGUACCAGCCAGGUCAGACCUCACUAUAAACACUGGUUAAUACGGUACCAGCCAGGUCAGACCUCACUAUAAACACUGGUUAAUAUGGUACCAGCCAGGUCAGACCUCACUAUAAACACUAGUUAAUACUGUACCAGCCAGGUCAGACCUCACUAUAAACACUAGUUAAUACUGUACCAGCCAGGUCAGACCUCACUAUAAACACUGGUUAAUAUGGUACCAGCCAGGUCAGACCUCACUAUAAACACUAGUUAAUACGGUACCAGCCAGGUCAGACCUCACUAUAAACACUAGUUAAUACUGUACCAGCCAGGUCAGACCUCACUAUAAACACUGGUUAAUACGGUACCAGCCAGGUCAGACCUCACUAUAAACACUGGUUAAUAUGGUACCAGGUACCAGCCAGGUCAGACCUCACUAUAAACACUAGUUAAUAUGGUACCAGGUACCAGCCAGGUCAGACCUCACUAUAAACACUAGUUAAUAUGGUACCAGCCAGGUCAGACCUCACUAUAAACACUAGUUAAUACGGUACCAGCCAGGUCAGACCUCACUACAAACACUAGUUAAUAUGGUACCAGGUACCAGCCAGGUCAGACCUCACUAUAAACACUAGUUAAUAUGGUACCAGGUACCAGCCAGGUCAGACCUCACUAUAAACACUAGUUAAUAUGGUACCAGGUACCAGCCAGGUCAGACCUCACUAUAAACACUGGUUAAUACGGUACCAGCCAGGUCAGACCUCACUAUAAACACUAGUUAAUAUGGUACCAGGUACCAGCCAGGUCAGACCUCACUAUAAAAACUAGUUAAUACGGUACCAGCCAGGUCAGACCUCACUACAAACACUGGUUAAUACGGUACCAGCCAGGUCAGACCUCACUAUAAACACUGGUUAAUACGGUACCAGCCAGGUCAGACCUCACUACAAACACUAGUUAAUAUGGUACCAGCCAGGUCAGACCUCACUAUAAACACUAGUUAAUAUGGUACCAGCCAGGUCAGACCUCACUAUAAACACUAGUUAAUACGGUACCAGCCAGGUCAGACCUCACUACAAACACUAGUUAAUAUGGUACCAGCCAGGUCAGACCUCACUAUAAACACUAGUUAAUACUGUACCAGCCAGGUGGUUUAGUUAAUACGGUACCAGCCAGGUGGUUUAGUUAAUACGGUACCAGCCAGGUGGUUUAGUUAAUACGGUACCAGCCAGGUGGUUUAGUUAAUACGGUACCAGCCAGGUGGUUUAGUUAAUACGGUACCAGCCAGGUGGUUUAGUUAAUACGGUACCAGCCAGGUGGUUUAGUUAAUACGGUACCAGCCAGGUGGUUUAGUUAAUACGGUACCAGCCAGGUGGUUUAGUUAAUACGGUACCAGCCAGGUGGUUUAGUUAAUACGGUACCAGCCAGGUGGUUUAGUUAAUACGGUACCAGCCAGGUGGUCUAGUUAAUACGGUACCAGGUACCAGCCAGGUGGUUUAGUUAAUACGGUACCAGCCAGGUGGUUUAGUUAAUACGGUACCAGCCAGGUGGUUUAGUUAAUACGGUACCAGCCAGGUGGUUUAGUUAAUACGGUACCAGCCAGGUGGUUUAGUUAAUACGGUACCAGCCAGGUGGUCUAGUUAAUACGGUACCAGGUACCAGCCAGGUGGUUUAGUUAAUACGGUACCAGCCAGGUGGUCUAGUUAAUACGGUACCAGCCAGAUGGUUUAGUUAAUACGGUACCAGCCAGGUGGUUUAGUUAAUACGGUACCAGCCAGGUGGUUUAGUUAAUACGGUACCAGCCAGGUGGUUUAGUUAAUACGGUACCAGCCAGGUGGUUUAGUUAAUACGGUACCAGCCAGGUGGUUUAGUUAAUACGGUACCAGCCAGGUGGUUUAGUUAAUACGGUACCAGCCAGGUGGUUUAGUUAAUACGGUACCAGCCAGGUGGUUUAGUUAAUACGGUACCAGCCAGGUGGUUUAGUUAAUACGGUACCAGCCAGGUGGUUUAGUUAAUACGGUACCAGCCAGGUGGUUUAGUUAAUACGGUACCAGCCAGGUGGUUUAGUUAAUACGGUACCAGCCAGGUGGUUUAGUUAAUACGGUACCAGCCAGGUGGUCUAGUUAAUACGGUACCAGCCAGGUGGUCUAGUUAAUACGGUACCAGCCAGGUGGUUUAGUUAAUACGGUACCAGCCAGGUGCUCUAGUUAAUACGGUACCAGCCAGGUGGUUUAGUUAAUACGGUACCAGCCAGGUGGUUUAGUUAAUACGGUACCAGCCAGGUGGUUUAGUUAAUACGGUACCAGCCAGGUGGUUUAGUUAAUACGGUACCAGCCAGGUGGUCUAGUUAAUACGGUACCAGCCAGGUGGUCUAGUUAAUACGGUACCAGCCAGGUGGUUUAGUUAAUACGGUACCAGCCAGGUGGUUUAGUUAAUACGGUACCCGCCAGGUGGUUUAGUUAAUACGGUACCCGCCAGGUGGUUUAGUUAAUACGGUACCUGCCAGGUGGUCUAUUUAAUACGGUACCCGCCAGGUGGUUUAGUUAAUACGGUACCCGCCAGGUGGUCUAGUUAAUACGGUACCAGCCAGGUGGUCUAGUUAAUACGGUACCAGCCAGGUGGUUUAGUUAAUACGGUACCCGCCAGGUGGUCUAGUUAAUACGGUACCUGCCAGGUGGUUUAGUUAAUACGGUACCCGCCAGGUGGUCUAGUUAAUACGGUACCUGCCAGGUGGUUUAGUUAAUACGGUACCCGCCAGGUGGUCUAGUUAAUACGGUACCAGCCAGGUGGCUAGUCUCUCUCAGGGAA